UACGGAGGGUGCAAGCGUUAUCCGGAUUCACUGGGUUUAAAGGGUGCGUAGGUGGGCAGGUAAGUCAGUGGUGAAAUCUCCGAGCUUAACUCGGAAACUGCCAUUGAUACUAUCUGUCUUUGAAUUUUCUGGAGGUGAGCGGAAUAUGUCAUGUAGCGGUGAAAUGCUUAGAUAUGACAUAGAACACCUAUUGCGAAGGCAGCUAACUACGCGAAUAUUGACGCUGAGGCACGAAAGCGUGGGGAGUCAAACAG
rnacentral:rRNA from 1 species